GAGCACAACCCCAGCAGCCUUUGCACAAGCCCUUUCCCUUCUCUGCCCGGCCCUUUAAGGGAGAAGGAAGAAAGCAGCUCCCGCGGGAGCGCCAGGGCUCCGGCUGGGCCCCGGGGCGGGUGGCAGCACCGCCCCCUGCCCUGGGCCGAGCCCGGGAGCAGUGGACCGCGGCCCGGGCUGCAGAGGAGCGGCGGGUGGCGGGGCCCCGGCAGGGCGCCGAGAAGGACGGAGGGCGCCGGCUGGGCUCAGGGACGCGGGGCGGGGAAGAAACGAGCCGGCGACGGUGCGCUCAGCCGGCUGACUCCGUGGCGAAGUCCGCGCCCGGCGGGGCUGAGCUACCCCUCGCCCCCGCUCCCGCCAGUGUCCUACGCACAGUUAUCUACGGCUACAACAUGUGUUUUCUCAGAGUGGAUUUUUUGGAGGGGAGGUGAAGGGGAGAAAAACAGACGCCUGCCACGCAGAUCUGUCACUCCGGAACAAGGCGCAACUCUCCAAGAGGGGGACGCAUCCUCGGGAUCAAGCGCGUCCACCAGCGAGUGGCGGGCGCCCGGGCCCCUUUCUCUCCCUCCACUCCCCCUCCGUGUCGGCCCCUCGGAGCGCCCUCCUCCCGCUCCUCCUCCUCCUUUCCCCUCCCCAGCCAAGUACGCAAACCCUCCCCGGCCCGGCAGCCGCGGCUCCCAACCACCCGCGCCCUCUCAGGGCUCCGCUUGCUCGGCUCUCGUCCCUCUGCCUGUCCUGCCCCAGCCCCUCGGUCCCAGCUCACAGAAACUAACCCUGGAGUGCCCGGAAGGGCAGGAGCGGAAGACGCCGGGGGACUGCGGCCAGGCCCUGAGCUCCUGCCCCCUGCCCCCUCCGGCGCCCCAACAGGUAGCUCACAGCGGGCCGCGCGCCCUGGCUCUGCCUCCCUCGCACUCGAGAUCGCUCGCUCCGUCCCGGUUACCUGGGCGGGCUCCAGGAUGGUACCGCGCGGGAGGGCUCCUUGUGCGCUGCGCCGCAGGAGUAAAUGGCAUUAAAGAAAAAGGGAAAGAUACAAAUAAAAAAAUUAAAAGUAAGGGGAGUCGGUGCUAGGUCAAUUGGCACAGUCCGGGAAGCAAGGGAACAGAACCCCCCAGCGCCGCGGCCGGCGUAGCCCGUUAACUCAGGUCUGCGGGGGUGUCCCGCCCCGGGCGGGGGCAGUGCAGAGCGGCAGAAGUUUGCCGCCGGGGUGCCAGGAGGUGCGCGCGGAGCGGGGUGACUAGGGGCUUCACCCUGGAACAAGUGAAGGCGAUGGUUAGUGCUGUCAAUCUUGGCAAUCAGUGUGAGCGGCCAUGUCGUAAGUAUUCAAAGCAUUUCCCGUCGUGCAACAUCAGAAAGUGAGUG
rnacentral:lncRNA from 1 species